CUAUAACUAGGCGACUCAGUUUUUGUGGUCAAUGACGUCAUUGUCACAAGCUGCCAUCCAGCAUCCAUCCAUCCAUCCAGCCAGCCGCGAUCUGCCUCGGCACAGGCCUCCAGAACGCGCAAAACAACAUGGCGGAUAAGUAUUUUUGCCCCUCUCAAAAACACACGAAAACUGACUGCAGAAAAGCCAAGAAUUGUCGAAAAAGAAGUGCUUGAAAUAAUCUUUCGUGGGAAUGCUAACCACGGAUAUGAACUUGUCUAAUUAUGUGCAAAAGACUGUGUAAAAACAUGGUUGAAAGUUUUGAAGAGUCAAGUCUUGUGCUCGAGUCAAGGUCAGUGAAAUGUCAAAGUAAGCCACAAGACGACGAAAGAAAAAACAAGCUAAUUUUAUGGACACCUUCUCCGACAAGUGCCCCUAUGUGUUUGUCUUUGCCCUGGCAGACGUAGGUUAAUCUCAGCCAGAGAUUCUGAAAUCAAGCUGAGACAAGCUGCUGGCUAAGAGGCAUGACCCAGGGCAGGAUGUAUAUAUAAGGCAUUGGUAUUUAAUGUAGGUCACCAAAAAUAAACACAUAUAAUGUAACAAAAAGUAAGAUACUAUUUUAAUGGAAAAACUGUUCUAAAAAAUGAACAAGAGUUAUAAAAGCAAAAAACCUAUUUUUUUUCCAAGUUAGCCUGACAGGUUCUUGUAUAAUGUGUGGUUAGUGACAUUUAGACUAUUAUAAAUAGUCUCUUGCUAUUACAAUGACUCAUGGUAAAGUAAUUGAGGUAGUAAGUAAUCAUACAAAAACAAAAACAGGUCUCCUAUAUGAUCAUAUUUAAAACUAUUUAGAAAUCAAUUUCCCUAUUUCAACCUAUUUCAAAUAAAGGCUAAAUAGAUGAUUUAUAAAAAGGAUUCUAAUUUGAUAAUUUUAGGUUAACAGGUUUAUUCUAGCUUCUUAUAUGUGGUUCUUAACUGUAUAAUAAUGUACUCAGAAGUUUUUUAAAGGAGUGCUUUUAAUCCACCCUUAGCAAAGUUACAUUCUAAAGCACAAUAGAGAAAGUUAAUAAAGAUUGUUUUUCCAAUAUUCGAAUUACUUACUGUAAAACUUACACAAGAAUAAGAAAAUGAUAAAGCCCUAUCUUUGCAAGUUAAGUAAAGUAAUUUAAAGAAGUAAAAGGAAUUGGGACAGUACAGGCAGGGAAUGAGUACUUUUACAUCAAAUCCACUAUGAUAGUGUGAUUUGCUGAUAUACUUGAUGUAUAGGAAUUUGAUAUGUAUUUGUUUAUUGUUUUUAAUUUUUAAGAGAAUAAAAUAGCACACAGUU